AUUGAACGCUGGCGGCAUGCCUUACACAUGCAAGUCGACGGCAGCACGGAGCUUGCUCUGGUGGCGAGUGGCGAACGGGUGAGUAAUAUAUCGGAACGUACCCAAGAGUGGGGGAUAACGUAGCGAAAGUUACGCUAAUACCGCAUACGAUCUAAGGAUGAAAGCAGGGGACCGCAAGGCCUUGUGCUCCUGGAGCGGCCGAUAUCUGAUUAGCUAGUUGGUGGGGUAAAGGCCCACCAAGGCAACGAUCAAUAGCUGGUCUGAGAGGACGACAAGCCACACUGGAACUGAGACACGGUCCAGACUCCGACGGGAGGCAGCAGUGGGGAAUUUUGGACAAUGGGGGCAACCCUGAUCCAGCAAUGCCGCGUGAGUGAAGAAGGCCUUCGGGUUGUAAAGCUCUUUUGUCAGGGAAGAAAAGGCUGUGGCUAAUAUCCAUGGCUCAUGACGGUACCUGAAGAAUAAGCACCGGCUAACUACGUGCCAGCCGCCGCGGUAA
rnacentral:rRNA from 1 species